UAUCGUUCAAAAAAGGGUAGACUUUAAAUACCACCCUAUAGCUUCAUAUUUUCUCAUUUUAGAAUCUUAUAGUUUAAAGUGUAUCAAUUUAGUACCAUGUGGUUUCAUUUUUCUCUUUUCGUUAGCUUCCCCAUUAAUAUUUCAUUAAAUUAUAUACAAAAAAACUUUAGAUACCCCACCUAAAUUUAUCGAAUAUUCACUUUAAUAUUCUUUAGUUUUAACUUUGUCACUGAUUUAGCAAAAAAAUUUGUGAAAGAGAUAAUAAAAAGAAAAAAUUGAAACUACGGGGUGCUAAAUCGAUACACUUUAUACAUAAAGUACCAAAAUGAAAAAGUGCAAAACUACAUAGAUGGUAUUUGAAGUUUU
rnacentral:lncRNA from 1 species